GCAUUAUUAUAAAAUGAAAAUAUGAGUGUAAUAAAGGCAUAAACAUAAGAAUAAAUGAAAAUGCUAAAAGAAAAAUAAAAUAGCUAAAAGAAAAUGCUACACAUGAGUAUUGAACCCACCCCACUCAAGAAUAUGAACACUGCCCUUCUCCACCAGACCACUUAUGAUUAUCUGCUACUGUGAUACUACGUUAAAUAUAUAAACCGGG
rnacentral:lncRNA from 1 species